rnacentral:rRNA from 1 species
AUUGAACGCUGGCGGCAUGCCUUACACAUGCAAGUCGAACGGCAGCGGGCCUUCGGGUGCCGGCGAGUGGCGAACGGGUGAGUAAUGCAUCGGAACGUGCCAUUGAGUGGGGGAUAACGUAGCGAAAGUUACGCUAAUACCGCAUAUUCUGUGAGCAGGAAAGCAGGGGACCGCAGGCCUUGCGCUCUUUGAGCGGCCGAUGUCAGAUUAGCUAGUUGGUGAGGUAAAGGCUUACCAAGGCGACGAUCUGUAGCGGGUCUGAGAGGAUGAUCCGCCACACUGGAACUGAGACACGGUCCAGACUCCUACGGGAGGCAGCAGUGGGGAAUUUUGGACAAUGGGCGCAAGCCUGAUCCAGCCAUGCCGCGUGAGUGAAGAAGGCCUCGGUUGUAAG